rnacentral:rRNA from 1 species
UACGGAGGGAGCUAGCGUUGUUCGGAAUUACUGGGCGUAAAGAGCGUGUAGGCGGCCAUGUAGGUCCGGUGUGAAAACUCGAGGCUUAACCUCGAGAUGUCAUCGGAAACCAUUUGGCUAGAGUCCGGAAGAGGAGAGUGGAAUUCCUGGUGUAGCGGUGAAAUGCGCAGAUAUCAGGAAGAACACCAAUGGCGAAAGCAGCUCUCUGGGACGGUACUGACGCUGAGACGCGAAAGCGUGGGGAGCGAACAGG